CCCAGCCGGCUCCAGGUCACGUGGCCAGGUCACGUGGCCUGCCAGCCACAGAAGGCGGCUGGCAAUCAUUAACUAAUGCUUUCUCCCGGGGAGAAAAAUGCUGGCUUUAAGGAGGCCGGGACGUCAGCAUUGCAAUAGAAGAUACUGGAACCCAGGGGCACCAUCUUGGUUGGCCUAGAGGAUCUGAGAAUAGAAUCCGUUCCUAGAAAGAGACCUGAGGUCCUACAGAAGAUAAGGUGGUAAGAAGGGAGUCAGAGGGAUGCCUCACCAGCAGAUCUCAGGACAGGUUCCAAUGCACCCCCAAGCUAGCACAGUGUCCUCUGCUCUCCUGUUGGCACACUAGAGAGCCCGUGGCAGCAACUGAAGGUGGCCUCAGCCUUCAGAUAAGACUGGCAGUGUGUGUGUUUGGGAAAUGCUUCCACCUGGCGUAAGCCCAGCUCUCCUUAAGGCCACCACUGGGCCACCACUGCCAGCCCAGUUCUUGUGGACUCUGACGGGGCAAACUGUUCUAACAGAGCCAAGUGUGCGAACAGCUCUGAAUCCUUUUUAUCUGUUUACUGGUUGGCUGAACCUGGGCAUCUCUUCACCUCCUGCCUACUCUAUCUCAUGCUCUGUUUACCAACCUGAAGGUGGCUGAACCUGGGAGAAUGGAGACUAAAAACGAGGCAGACUAAAGUCUCAUGCAACGGCCGACUUUGUCCAGAGCCUCGGGACAAUUUAUCCUCUGAGGUUUAAGAAGAAAAUACACGAUCAUAAGGAUAUACUUACUGCACAUGGCAAAACGUGUAUUUCCGUAGAUACAUAUAAACAGAUAACGAUAGCGAGUCUGAAUAGAUGAAUAGUCUGAAGUAAACCCAUUCUCAUCCACCAUGUCAAGGACAUACUCCAAGAACAGUCCCGUGUUUUUUAAGAAACUGAGGUCACAGCUCUUGCUCUGUUUUCUGGGAAUUUUCUCCUAAGCACUCAGGAUUCGACUCACACAACUCAGUUCUCAUAUUUCCUCAGUUCACCUCUUCCUCUCAGACUCGUUAUCACUGAACCCAUCCUAGUCCGACUCCGACCCCUCAGUGCUGGGAUUACACGUAAGUGCCUCGACGCUGGGACACACUGUGUGGAGCAAAAUGACCUCGGAUUGACAGAGACCUGCCGCCUCUGCUCCUGAGUGCCUGGACUGAGGGCGUGGCCACCACAUCUGGCCAGGAUAACGUGGGAGCAAGGUUACACAGCACCACUUGUGUACAGGCAGAUUUUCUCCUCCCGGAGAGCAACGAGGCUUUGCGGGCUAGUAUUGAGCAUUACAAUGCAUAGCAACAGACGAAACCUAAACUGUGAGUGUGUGUACCUGAGGGCUGGGACCCACGGAGCACGGAACCCUUGGAUCUGGAAUUACAGGCGGUUGCGGGCCUCAAGACGUGGCUACUGGAAUCCUCAACGAGAGCAGCAAAUGUUCUUAACCGAGGAGCCGUCUCUCCAGCCCCACUACACACCACAAACAAAUGAGCAAAAACUUUCUUUACCUCAGUUUCUUCAGUAGAAAGAGGAAAACAGUCACCCUCGCCGUAUAGCACUGGUUCUCAGCCUCCCUAACGCUGCGACCCUUUAAUACAGUUCCUCCUGUUGUAGUGACCCCCAACCACAAAAUUAUUUUGUUGCUACUUCAUAAUUGUAAUUUUUCUGCCGUUAUAAAUUGUAAUGUGAGUAUUAGAUAGGCUGGAUAUCUAAUAGGCAACCCACAAAGGGGUCCUUAUCCAAGGGUAGGGAAUCCCUGUCCUAAAGACUUCUGGAUUUGAGAAAGGUAUCUGGUGCCUGCUCUCCCUAGUGGUUGUUGAUAAUUAGUAGGGAGACCAUUGGGCAUGGUGAUAGCCCUGAAAGCCCUGUGAAAGUCUUCUUCCAAAGUGGGAGGAUUAUACCUGAAUGCUAAGGCUGGUAAGAGGGCGUGUUCAGUAGGGGGUGGGGCUAGAGCUGGUAAGAGGGCGUGUUUAGUAGGAGGUGGGGCUAGGGCUGGUAAGAGGGCGUGUUUAGUAGGAGGUGGGGCUUCCUGGGUGCUACAAGAUGCCCGGAUGUGCUAACUCCCAGGUCUGGGCCUCACAUGUCUAGGUGGUGGAUGUUUUCAGCUACACUAGCUUUGACCAUAGCAACACAUUGACACGCUAUUCUUAGCGGCUUCCGCUGGAUCACUCCUGACACUAGGGUUAUUUAAUUAUCCUAUCUUAUUUUUUUCCCCUAUUAAAAUUCUUUCCUGCAGCCAGCAGGAGCUGUGUGUGCUAAGAGCAGGAGAAGAACAGACAUCUUCAAUUUUUAUAUUUAAUUAAAAAAUAUAAUAACAGGAGACCAUUUGAGCUCACUUAUUUAUUUUCGAAUCAUGACAGCCUGCUGGAGAUUGGAUGGACAUGUGUGUAAUGGCCUGGACAAGGGUCCUACUUUCCUGUCCCCAGGAAAAUGCUCAGUAUUCAGCCACAAUGCCAGACACAACCCUCUGGCUUAUGAAAUAUUUAUCAUUGUAUUCUGUGGAAAAUAGAGAUUAAAAGAACAGAGGGAAGCCGGGUGUGGUGGCGCACGCCUGUAAUCCCAGCACUUGGGAGGCAGAGGCAGGUGGAUUUCUGAGUUCGAGGCCAGCCUGGUCUACAGAGUGAGUUCCAGGACAGCCAGGGCUACACCGAGAAACCCUGUCUCGAAAAACAAAAACAAAAACAAACAAACAAGAGAGAGAGAGAGAGAGAGAGAGAGAGAGAGAGAGAGAGAGAGAGAGAGAGAGAACAGAGGGAAGUAUAUUAUAAAGUUGUUCUGGGGCUAGGGAGCUGGCUCAGUGGUUAGAGCACUUGAUGCAGAGGACCUGAGUUCAGUUCCCAGCACCCAAGUCAGACAGCUCACAAUUGCUGGUAACUUCACCUCUAGGGGACCUGCAUUUCCAAGCACAGACAAACGCAGAGACUGACACACAUAUACAUAAUUUAAAAUAAUUUUAUAAAUUUAAUUGUCCUGGGGGGGGGGGUGGUCGAUAAGAUGGUUCAUUGGGUCAAGGCAUUUGCUUGCUGAGCUGAGUUCAAUUUCUGGAAUCCACAUGGGAGAGAGAAGUUAUUCAUGCGAGUUGCCCCCCCCCCCAUUCCUAACACACGUGCUAUAGCAGAAGCACCCUCUCUUCCAAAAAUAAAGAUAUAAAAGUAAAGAGUUCUGAGCAGAUGUUGCUCAUUUACCUCUCUGUAUGUUGUCCCCGUGACUGCUGCAUUUACAGAAAGAAAAUAGAAAAUAAGAAUAUUGCAGCUGAAUUUUUCUCUGACUUGAGUAAACUUGAAAGGAAGCUAGUCUCUAAAUUUGAUGGAGAAUAUUUCUGCCACGUAGGGUAUCACAGGCUUCAGUCCCAGCAGUGGAGAUGUUAAGGGCUACAUAGUAAGACCCUGGAGAGAGAGAAAGAGGGAGGAGAGAGACAGAGAGAGACAGACAGAGAGAGACAGAGACAGCAGAGAGAGACAGAGACAAAAAUACAGAGACGGAGAAGGGGGAAAGGAAGGGAAGGGAGAGGAGAAGAGAGGAAAUAAUCUUAGCACACAAGAGGAUAGCAAGUUCAAAGCCAGCCAGCGUUACACAUUGUCUCAAAAUAAUACACAUGAUAUAUGAUGUCACAUAUAUGAGAUAUAUGUUAAAAUUUGAGGUAGAAAUUAAUGUUAAAGAAACCCGUGCACUAAAAGUCUACAACCAUGCAUUUUAGAAAAUCAGUGGAUUAGAAGAAGAGGGGGCUUUCGCUGAGGUUGGGGUUGGUGACUUAGGUGUCUUUUAUAUUAUUGAGCUACAGACACAUAUCUGCUUAGCCUGUGCGUCUUACACCAAAAACUGACAUCUUAAAGAAACUCCAGGUGGCAGGUGCAAUGUCUGUGCUGCCCACGCACCAGCGUGCUGUGGGCUGCAGUGUGGAAGUCUUUCCUUCCAGCCUAUCUUCCAACGCGCUCUUCCUGAAGGCAAAGACUUUGAUACCGGAUUCUCGAGUGCGUCAUGAAGUCUCUACAAACACAAAAUCAUGUACUCCUGCUUUAAAAAUAAUAGCCUGGGUAGCUUGUCUGUGUGGUGGGUCUAACAAGUAUUUAUGAAUAAGCGAUGUCCAAAAAGUGAAGUCUGAACAGAGCCUGCCAGGCCAGAGCUUGGUGUGCACCGAGGGCAGGGAUUACUGUGGAGAGCUGAAGAUCUGGUUAACCUGCAACCACACAGAACAUGAGGCAAAGGCGUGCAUGGCUCGGUGCUCUGUGGCCGAGGGAUUAGAUGUUGUUUGCUUGCUCGGUGCAAAACAAGAGGCUUAAAAGAACUUCAAUGACGACCGAAAGUUGACUCCUAUAACCGACUGGCUAUGCUUGACAAGUCCCGUAAGCUGAUAACCUUUUAGAGCUAAAAGGUCCCAGAGUCCCACUAAGCACUGGCCUGUGACAUUCCUGCCUAAGCCUGCUGCUGUUUGGUACCAUGGAACCUAAAUAAAGGAAAACUUUUCC